rnacentral:tRNA from 1 species
UUACCGUUUACGAGGUGGAAGCGUGGUUGCCUCUCACCCAGUCGGCCUGGGUUCGAUCCCAGACGGUCCC